AGUGAAAAAAGCCAAACCUGUUGUGAAGUAGGGACGGAAAGCCAAGGGUCUCAAUUUUAAUGAGAUAGCCAAGUUGCCUUU
rnacentral:ncRNA from 1 species